rnacentral:rRNA from 1 species
UACGGGGGAUGCAAGCGUUAUCCGGAUUUAUUGGGUUUAAAGGGUGCGUAGGCUGUGAGGUAAGUCAGCGGUGAAAUGCCCCCGCUCAACGGGGUGAAGUGCCAUUGAUACUGCCUUGCUGGAAUGCGGAUGCCGUGGGAGGAAUGUGUGGUGUAGCGGUGAAAUGCAUAGAUAUCACACAGAACACCGAUUGCGGAGGCAUCUCACGAAUCCGCUAUUGACGCUGAUGCACGAAAGCGUGGGUAUCAAACAGG